rnacentral:rRNA from 1 species
GACAGAGGGUGCAAACGUUGUUCGGAAUUACUGGGCGUAAAGCGCGUGUAGGCGGCGUAGCAAGUCGGGCGUGAAAGCCCACGGCUCAACCGUGGAAGAGCACUCGAAACUGCUGCGCUAGAGUUCUGGAGAGGAAGGCGGAAUGCUUGGUGUAGAGGUGAAAUUCGUAGAUAUCAAGCGGAACACCGGUGGCGAAGGCGGCCUCUGGACAGUGACUGACGGCUGAAACGCGAAAGCGUGGGGAGGCAAACAGGA